CUCCCCGAACACACACCGAAGCAUUCAACGCCACUAAUUUGCUCUGCAAUUCUCGGGAGCCAAACAGCAAUGACAAUUAGAUCGAGCAGAUUGAAGCGGAAACUGGAACUGGAACCCCCGCCUUGCAUCAGGAAGAAGCUCCGGUCCAAGCUACAUCGUCGGAGAAGAUGCCAGAUCUCUCCCGUCCUGCUUGGUUCUAAGAAAUUCAAAGUUUCUGAGGAGAACGCCGGUUCAGUGGAUUCGAGCCCUUGCUCUCGCGUUAAUGGUGAAGAAUCAUGCAAUUCGACCAGAGUAUCGGUUGAGUUCGAGAGUAAAAGGAGGUCGGAUUCGAGGAAGAAUAUAAUCAACGAAGUUGGAGAUCUUCGGAAGGGUAAAUGCAACGAGUUCCGGAGGAUUCGGAGAUCUGAGAAGCAAAAGGAUCGCGAGAUGGAGGUAUCUGAGUCUUCGUGUGUGGACUCGAAUUCUGGUGUGGGUGAACAGAGGAGUCUGGUGUUGAAGUUUAGGAGUGGAACAGAAUGCAAGAGUGUGAAAGAAACCGAAACAAAUGAAGGUUCUGAAGCUUUUACGAAAUCGGAGACUACUUGUGAUCAGCAAUGCUCUGCGGGAGAUUCCAGAUACGGCACCGCGAGUCUUCAAUUCUCAUCGGAGAUAGCGCGAAACGAUGUCGUUCCAGCAGGCUGUUGUGUUCUCGAGAUGUUUGGAAAGGCAGGGGAGGAGACGUUCAGAGGAAAGGAAAACGGAUCUUCGGAAUUAGAGUUCUCUCAAGUUUCCGGAUAUCAUCAAGCUAAUGUGAACACAAUCGAAUUUAAUGCGCAGUCGAGCAUACAACAGGGUUCAAAUCAUAUUGUCGAUGAUUCCAAUCUAACUUGCACAGAGCAACUCUCGUACGGUGAUGUAUCAGAGUAUUCUUCAAGUCAGGAGCCCGAAUUUCCUGAUCACUAUUCAGAUAUCUUUCCUGAAAGCUCAGAACUAGAAAUUUCGGAUUACUUUACUGAUUCUGGAAGUCAAUUCUCAGAAGGCUCCGCUGCAGGAAAUGUCUCGCCAACAUUUUCUUUGUUUAUUCAGUACAACAAUGAGUUUUCGAGGUUGAAAUCACCAGAUUCUGGAAUUGCUUUGCGCGUCGAGGAUGAUACCUCACAUCAACCAGAAUUCUUGAGGUUUGAAGAUGCCGAGGUUGAAGACAGCUACCAAAUGCUCAGAAAGAGAGAACGGAGGCAAUUGUAUUUGUGCAAUUAUGCAGAGAAGUACGGUUCCAAUACCACCGAAUACGGCAGUCUCGUUCUUCAGCAACGCUCGCAAAUGGUCCACUGGAUAGUUGAGCAAUCUUGUCGAAAAGAGCUUCGGCAAGAGACGAUGUUUCUUGGCGUCAGCCUUCUUGACCGGUUCCUGAGCAAAGGAUACUUCAAAACCAAAAAGAACCUUCAAAUUGUUGGAAUAGCCUGCCUCACAUUGGCCACGAGGAUCGAAGAAAACCAACCUAAUAACAGCGUACGGCAAAAGAAUUUCUACGUAGGAAGCACCGUGUAUAGUAGAUGUGAAGUGGUCGCCAUGGAAUGGAUGGUGCAAGAGGUGCUCAGUUUCCAGUGUUUUCAGCCCACCAUCUACAAUUUCUUAUGGUUCUACCUAAAAGCUGCUGAAGCUGAUGCAAAAGUGGAGAAGAGGGUCAUGUUCCUGGCAAUGCUGGCACUGUCAGCAGAAGAGCAGAUAUGCUACUGGCCAUCAACAGUUGCUGCUGCACUUGUAAUCCUGGGUUGCUUAGACGUCAAUGAAAAUGCAUCCCACAAAGUCAUUGGGGUAAUAUUAUCGCUGUCAGUGCAGAAUACUGAGGCUCCAGCUGUUCUUAAAUACAUCAAGUCAACGGUUAUAAAUCUUUUUGACACUGCAUUGCUUAUUAUCAAUUCUGUGAGCAAGGCUAGAUCUGCCUUAACCAUUCUAGAUUCAUUUUGGUCCUUCCUUAAUAUUUUUGCACAUAAAUGUAUAUCAAAUAUAAAGUUUAGAUUAAGCAUACGUACUUGGUGAAAUGUUCACAGAGGUGCAUUUUCAGACUUCGAAGCCGAAAUGUGAUAUCGUUUACAUGGUUCAGAUGCUAAACCCACCCCCCUCUCUCUUUUUUUUUCGUUUCAAUGGAUUAUUCCAUAUAUGUGCUUAGGCUUUCCAGUAUGGGAACUGAAUGGGAAUAAUCAUGUUGGUAAUUAAUUUUUUGAUUUUGCAGAUCCACGUGAGAUCAAAAGAUGAGAAUUUGCACAAAUGCAUUGAGAGACUGGAGUGGUUGUUGCGCUAUCUAUGAUAAUGAUAGCACAUUAGCUAACAAGGAGGACAUUAUCCUUACAAUUUCUUUCUGUUCGUUGCGAAUUAUCGUUACAAUUUUUUUUAUUUGUCUAAACACAAAUGCAUCAUAAAGGGAAGGUCAUUUAAAGUAGCAUUUCUUUGGCUUUGAUGCCUGAUCAUGAAUAUUGAAUAACUUCUUAUUCUUUAACCUUUUUGAGAGGAAUGCUUUUUUUUUUUUUGGGGACCGUGUAACUCUUGUAGUUGUAAGCAUUCCGUAGUUAUUAAGAGAGUUUUUGUUGUUACAAACAAGAUAUCCUUGGGUUUAUGUGGUCAAAACCCAACAUUGGGAUAGAGAUCACACAUAGUUAUUGUUGAGA